rnacentral:rRNA from 1 species
AUUGAACGCUGGCGGCAGGCCUAACACAUGCACGUCGAGCGGAGCGGCGGACGGGUGAGUAAUGCCUAGGAAUCUGCCUGGUCGUGGGGGAUGACGUCCGGCAACGGGCGCUAAUACCGCAUACUAUCAGAUGAUCCUAGGUCGGAGUAGCUAGUUGGUGGGGUAAAGGCCUACCAAGGCGACGAUCCGUAACUGGUUUGUGAGGAUGAUCAGCCACACUGGAACUGAGACACGGCCCAGACUCCUACGGGAGGCAGCAGUGGGGAAUAUUGGACAAUGGGCGAAAGCCUGAUCCAGCCAUGCCGCGUGUGUGAAGAAGGUCUUCGGAUUGUAAAGCACUUUAAGUUGGGAGGCGUUACCAACAGAAUAAGCACCGGCUAACUUCGUGCCAGCAGCCGCGGUAAUAC